rnacentral:tRNA from 1 species
GCCGGUGUAGCUUAGUUGGUAGAGCAUCUGAUUUGUAAUCAGGAGGUCGAAGGUUCAAGUCCUUCUACCGGCA